AUUGAACGCUGGCGGCAUGCCUUACACAUGCAAGUCGAACGGCAGCACGGGAGCAAUCCUGGUGGCGAGUGGCGAACGGGUGAGUAAAGUAUCGGAACGUGCCCAGUCGUGGGGGAUAACGUAGCGAAAGUUACGCUAAUACAGCAUACGAUCUAUGGUAGAAAGCGGGUGAUCGCAAGACCUCGCGCGAUUGGAGCGGCUAAUAUCAGAUGAGGUAGUUGGUGGGGUAAAGGUUCACCAAGCCGACGAGCUGUAGCUGGUCUGAGAGGCACGACCAGCCACACUGGGACUGAGACACGGCCCAGACUCCUACGGGAGGCAGCAGUGGGGAAUUUUGGACAAUGGGCGAAAGCCUGAUCCAGCCAUGGCGCGUGCAGGAUGAAGGCCUUCGGGUUGUAAACUGCUUUUGUACGGAACGAAAUGGUUUGGGCUAAUAAGCUGAGCUCAUGACGGUACCGUAAGAAUAAGCACCGGCUAACUACGUGCCAGCAGCCGCCGUAA
rnacentral:rRNA from 1 species